rnacentral:rRNA from 1 species
UACAGAGGGUGCGAGCGUUGUCCGGAAUCACUGGGCGUAAAGGGCGCGUAGGUGGCGACCCAAGUCGAUGGUGAAAGCUCGCCGCUCAACGGCGAGUCGGCCACCGAUACUGGGUUGCUGGAGCACUGUAGAGGCUCAUGGAAUUCCGGGUGUAGCGGUGGAAUGCGUAGAGAGUCCGGAAGAACGACCGGUGGCGAAGGCGGUGAGCUGGGCAGUUGCUGACACUGAGGCGCGGACAGCGUGGGGAGCAAACAGG